rnacentral:rRNA from 1 species
GACGAACGCUGGCGGCGUGCUUAACACAUGCAAGUCGAACGGAGAAAGAAGAGCUUGCUCUUCUGGAUCAGUGGCGAACGGGUGAGUAACACGUGAGUAACCUGCCCCAGACUCUGGAAUAAGCGCUGGAAACGGCGUCUAAUACCGGAUACGAGACAGAGAUGCAUGGCUACUGUCUGGAAAGUUUUUCGGUCUGGGAUGGAAUCGCGGCAUAUCAGCUUGUUGGUGAGGUAACGGCUCACAAAGGCAACGACGGGUAGCCGGCCUGAGAGGGCGACCGGCCACACUGGGACUGAGAGACGGCCCAGACUCCUACGGUAGGCAGCAGUGGGGAAUAUUGCACAAUGGGCGAAAGCCUGAUGCAGCGACGCCGCGUGAGGAAUGACGGCCUUCUGGUUGUAAACCUCUGUCUGCAUAGAAGAAGCGAAAGUGACGGUACCUGCAGAAAAAGCACCGGCUAACUACGUG